rnacentral:misc_RNA from 1 species
GUGAAUCAUCAAAUUUUUGAACGCAAAUUGCACUCUCUUCGGAGAGUAUGCCUGUUUGAGGGUCAGCCUAAAAAAAAUCGACAUCGUUGCUGUUUUGCGGUGACAUUCGUCGGACAUUGGGUCAUCUUACACCUUUGGUAUUUAAGCGGCUUAAAAUUUUCUUUACGAUUCCACGAACGUUACUAAGAUUUUACUUCUUACACGUUUAAGGUAUCGAUCUUUUUUAGACGUGGCCGUUGCAUCCGAUCACGUCCAUAAAUCUUUCGUUAACUGACCUCA